GAUGAACGCUGUCGGCGUGCUUAACACAUGCAAGUCGAACGGAAAGGCCCUGCUUGCCGGGUACUCGAGUGGCGAACGGGUGAGUAACACGUGGGUGGUCUGCCCUGUACUUUGGGAUAAGCCUGGGAAACUGGGUCUAAUACCGAAUAUGUCACUUGUUUGGAUGCGAUUGUGGAAAGCUUUUGCGGUAGGGGAUGAGCUCGCGGCCUAUGGGCUUGUUGGUGGGGAAAUGGCCUACUAAGGGGUUGACGGAUAGCCGGCCCGAGAGGGUGUAGGGCCACAUUGGGACUGAGAUACGGCCCAGAGUCGUACGGGGGGCAGCAGUGGGGAAUAGUGAACAAUGGGGCCAAGCCUGAGGCAGCGAGGCCGCGUGGGGGAUGACGGCCUUCGGGUUGUAAACUCCUUUCGCAACCGACGAGGCCGUGUGGUGACGGUAGGUUGAGAAGAAGCACCGGCUAACUACGUG
rnacentral:rRNA from 1 species